UACGUAGGGGGCAAGUGUUGUCCGGAUUUAUUGGGCGUAAAGAGCGUGUAGGCGGCCAGACAGGUCCGUUGUGAAAACUCGAGGCUCAACCUCGAGAUGUCGAUGGAAACCGUCUGGCUAGAGUCCGGAAGAGGAGUGUGGAAUUCCUGGUGUAGCGGUGAAAUGCGCAGAUAUCAGGAAGAACACCUAUGGCGAAGGCAGCACUCUGGGACGGUACUGACGCUGAGACGCGAAAGCGUGGGGAGCGAACAGG
rnacentral:rRNA from 1 species